UACGGAGGGUGCAAGCGUUGUUCGGAAUCACUGGGCGUAAAGCGCGUGUAGGCGGCCAUCUAAGUCUGGUGUGAAAGCCCUGGGCUCAACUCAGGAAGUGCACUGGAUACUGGAUGGCUGGAGUACCGGAGAGGAGGGUGGAAUUCCUGGUGUAGCGGUGAAAUGCGUAGAUAUCAGGAGGAACACCGGUGGCGAAGGCGUCCCUCUGGCCGGAUACUGACGCUGAGACGCGAAAGCGUGGGGAGCAAAC
rnacentral:rRNA from 1 species